UGGGGAAUCUUCCGCAAUGGGCGAAAGCCUGACGGAGCAACGCCGCGUGAGUGAUGACGGCCUUCGGGUUGUAAAGCUCUGUGAUCGGGGACGAACGGUCAGCAGACGAAUACUCUGCUGAAGUGACGGUACCCGAAUAGCAAGCCACGGCUAACUACGUGCCAGCAGCCGCGGUAAUACGUAGGUGGCAAGCGUUGUCCGGAAUUAUUGGGCGUAAAGCGCGCGCAGGCGGCUUCUUAAGUCCAUCUUAAAAGUGCGGGGCUUAACCCCGUGAUGGGAUGGAAACUGAGAGGCUGGAGUAUCGGAGAGGAAAGUGGAAUUCCUAGUGUAGCGGUGAAAUGCGUAGAGAUUAGGAAGAACACCGGUGGCGAAGGCGACUUUCUGGACGACAACUGACGCU
rnacentral:rRNA from 1 species